rnacentral:rRNA from 1 species
AAUGAACGCUGGCGGCAGGCCUAACACAUGCAAGUCGAGCGAGCGGCGGACGGGUGAGUAAUGUAUGGGGACUGCCCUAUAGAGGGGGAUAACUACUGGAAACGGUAGCUAAUAACCCAUACUAUCGGAUAACCCAUAUGGGAUUAGCUAGUUGGUGAGGUAAUGGCUCACCUAGGCGACGAUCCCUAGCUGGUCUGAGAGGAUGAUCAGCCACACUGGGACUGAGACACGGCCCAGACUCCUACGGAGGCAGCAGUGGGGAAUAUUGCACAAUGGGCGAAAGCCUGAUGCAGCCAUGCCGCGUGUAUGAAGAAGGCCCUAGGGUUGUAAAGUACUUUCAGUCGGGAGGCGUUACCGACAGAAGAAGCACCGGCUAACUCCGUGCCAGCAGCCGCGGUAAUAC